rnacentral:rRNA from 1 species
GACGAACGCUGGCGGCGUGCUUAACACAUGCAAGUCGAACGGAAAGGCCAUGCUUUUGUGGGGUGCUCGAGUGGCGAACGGGUGAGUAACACGUGAGUAACCUGCCCUUGACUUUGGGAUAACUUCAGGAAACUGGGGCUAAUACCGGAUAGGAGCUCCUGCUGCAUGGUGGGGGUUGGAAAGUUUCGGCGGUUGGGGAUGGACUCGCGGCUUAUCGGCUUGUUGGUGGGGUAGUGGCUGACCAAGGCUUUGACGGGUAGCCGGCCUGGGAGGGUGACCGGCCACAUUGGGACUGAGAUACGGCCCAGACGCCUACGGGAGGCAGAAGGGGGGAAUAUUGCACAAUGGGCGGAAGCCUGAUGCAGCAACGCCGCGUGCGGGAUGACGUCCUUCGGGUUGUAAACCGCUUUCGCCUGUGACGAAGCGUGAGUGACGGUAAUGGGUAAAGAAGCACCGGCUAACUACGUG